CGGCCAAUAUUGCCAAGUCACGCUCAUUUUUAGCAGCAGAUUUUGUAUCGGGAAAAUAUUACUUAGAUUGAAUUAAAAACCAGCAGAAAAUUUUUCUUUAUUUCACAGUCAUUUAAUGAUUAGGUACUAUGGAAAGUAAUGAGUCUUCAUGUAGAGUAGAUUGAUUCGUCAUAUUUCGUAGUCUAAUUUCAGUACAACUUCGUUGUGAAAAGUUCAAUGUAAAUAAUUUGUGAUAGAUAUUGUUCACUUGGCUACCAUUAUGACAUAAGAGUUCUUAGUAUAGAGCAAUCCAAACCACGUGACUGUGACCCAAUAUGGCGGCGUAGGGCAAACAAUCUAAUUAUUGUCAUAAGAGUAUUAUUGGUUGUGGUGUUGUUCGCUAUUGUGGAGUGUUUUUUCACAUUUUUGGAGCUUUUUGUGGUGUUUAAAUUCAAUCAAAAUGGAAAGUGAAUACUUGAAAUCACUAUUGCUGAACAGCAGAGACGUUGCUAAACGAUAUAUAAUGAACUUGAGAUUGGUCAAUGGUUUAGACCCUCUCUCAUUGAAUGUUUCUAGUUUGGAUUAUUCAAUGGAUGUUGUUACAUAACUGGUGUUACUAGUUACAUAUGUGGAUAUUGCUUCAUAUUUGGUUUUUAUACCCACAGUUUUUAUUUGCAUGUGCAGAUGGAGGCAUAUAAAGGUUUGGAAUUGUAUAUAUAUUUUGAAUCUGGCUUCGUUUUGAAGGUGGGAACAAAGAUUGAUAUCAAUUUAUACAUUUCAGUUGGACAGGUCAAGCAUUCACAGAAAGCAAAUGCGAAACCUUUAGAUGUUUGGUGCAUCAUAGCAAAAGAUGGAAGCGUAUGUACAGCUCACUGUACUUUUAUGGCCGGAGACAGUGAAGUUUGUAGUCACGUUG